rnacentral:rRNA from 1 species
CGCGGUAAUUCCAGCUCCAAUAGCGUAUAUUAAAGUUGUUGCAGUUAAAAAGCUCGUAGUUGGAUUUCUGUUAAUAAUUUAUAUAUAAUAUUUAACAUAUUUAUAUAAUAUUAACAUAAUUCAUAUUACUAUUUAUAGUAUAUGAAACUUUACUUUGAGAAAAUUAGAGUGCUUAAAGCAGGCUUUUGCCUUGAAUACUAGAGCAUGGAAUAAUAUUAAAGAUUUUUAUCUUUCUUAUUGGUUCUAAGAUAGAAAUAAUGAUUAAUAGGGACAGUUGGGGGCAUUUGUAUUUAACAGUUAGAGGUGAAAUUCUUAGAUUUGUUAAAGACAAACUAAUGCGAAAGCAUUUGCCAAGGAUGUUUUCAUUAAUCAAGGACGAAAGUUAGGGGAUCGAAGACGAUCAGAUACCGUCGUAGUCUUAACCAUAAACCAUGCCAACUAG